rnacentral:tRNA from 1 species
GUUUUGGAAAUGAAUUAUCAUAAAUGGUUUCGGCCCAUUACUUAGCAAUAUAUAAAUAAGUUGCUUCAGAACU